GAUGAACGCUGGCGGCGUGCCUAAUACAUGCAAGUCGAGCGAACGGACGAGAAGCUUGCUUCUCUGAUGUUAGCGGCGGACGGGUGAGUAACACGUGGAUAACCUACCUAUAAGACUGGGAUAACUUCGGGAAACCGUAGCUAAUACCGGAUAAUAUUUUGAACCGCAUGGUUCAAAAGUGAAAGACGGUCUUGCUGUCACUUAUAGAUGGAUCCGCGCUGCAUUAGCUAGUUGGUAAGGUAACGGCUUACCAAGGCAACGAUGCAUAGCCGACCUGAGAGGGUGAUCGGCCACAGCGGAACUGAGACACGGUCCAGACUCCUACGGGAGGCAGCAGUAGGGAAUCUUCCGCAAUGGGCGAAAGCCUGACGGAGCAACGCCGCGUGAGUGAUGAAGGUCUUCGGAUCGUAAAACUCUGUUAUUAGGGAAGAACAAAUGUGUAAGUAACUAUGCACGUCUUGACGGUACCUAAUCAGAAAGCCACGGCUAACUACGUG
rnacentral:rRNA from 1 species